UAAACUUCGGCUGUAUCCGCCCAUUAAAAUAGUCAACGUCAUCGGUUCGGUGAAUACCAGCAGCCUCAACUCGUCCUUGUUUACCAUGGAAGGCUCAAAGCUGAAGCCUUUAAAAGACCAUGGGCCAACAUUGGUCAAGUACCCAGGAAUCACGUAAGAGAUGUCUUCCCAGAGAUUCCAGCUCCUUCCUCUCACCAGCCAAGCACCAAGCACCCUGUGUCUUGGGUUUCCAGGCAGAUCCUUGUUUGAGUUUUGUAGGAAAUGCCCGAGGGGCUGUGCACACUGACGCACAUGUUUAGAGACCACUUCUGACAAGAGCAAAGCUAUAAUUUUCUACUGAAAUAAAUGUUUUUUCCAACAGAGCCACCUUAAGACUUGGGGGUUGGGAUCGAAGACAAUGUGAAAGGCUGAAAAUGGCAUCACUUUGAGAGUUGGGGAGCAACAUUGCAUUUAAUCACCCUAUCUAGUGUGAGGUAGGAGAAGGGUAACUGUGUACCAUACACGGAGGUCAUGGCUUCUACCUAAGUUUGAGUGCACAGGAGCCACACCACCUCCAGUACACACUCUGGGGCUACAAUACCCAGAAAGACAGCCUCUUUCAUCAUGGAAAACAUUUGCUUCUGUAACAAAAACCAAGAGCUGGGCAGGAUGCUGAUUGGGGUAGGUUUUGUUUUUAAUUUGUUUGGUUUUUUGUUUUUAAUUUUUCAAGUCAGGGUCUCUCUGUGUCAUUCUGUCUAUCCUGGAACUUGCUCCAUAGACUAGGCUGGCCUCAAACUCAGAGACCCACUGGCCUUUGCCUCUAAGUGCUGGGAUUAAGGGUGUGUGCCACCACCACCUAGCAUGGGCGGUUUUCUUCUACACGUUUCUCAAAGGGGAAAAGUUUAGUUCCCAGGCAAUGCGGGAACUGUAGAGCCUAUCUUCCGGCCUUCUUCCAAAGCAUCAAGGCGCUUACGAGCAGUAGUCACACUAACCUGACUCACUCUCUCUUUUCCUGUGAGCAAAUCCUUUCAGUCCCAUGGCUGAGAGUCCUCUCAACAGGCCACCCAGGUCCUCUACUACAGGAUUCACCCAAGCUCCCUUUGAGCUCAAAACAGACAAAAACUGCA
rnacentral:lncRNA from 1 species